rnacentral:rRNA from 1 species
GACGAACGCUGGCGGCGUGCUUAACACAUGCAAGUCGAACGGAAAGGCCCUGCUUUUGUGGGGUGCUCGAGUGGCGAACGGGUGAGUAACACGUGAGUAACCUGCCCUUGACUUUGGGAUAACUUCAGGAAACUGGGGCUAAUACCGGAUAGGAGCUCCUGCUGCAUGGUGGGGGUUGGAAAGUUUCGGCGGUUGGGGAUGGACUCGCGGCUUAUCAGCUUGUUGGUGGGGUAGUGGCUUACCAAGGCUUUGACGGGUAGCCGGCCUGAGAGGGUGACCGGCAACAUUGGGACUGAGAUACGGCCCAGACGCCUACGGGAGGCAGCAGUGGGGAAUAUUGCACAAUGGGCGGAAGCCUGAUGCAGCAACGCCGCGUGCGGGAUGACGGCCUUCGGGUUGUAAACCGCUUUCGCCUGUGACGAAGCGUGAGUGACGGUAAUGGGUAAAGAAGCACCGGCUAACUACGU